rnacentral:rRNA from 1 species
CUACUACGUGCAGUCGAGCGGACAGAAGGGAGCUUGCUCCCGGAUGUUAGCGGCGGACGGGUGAGUAACACGUGGGUAACCUGCCUGUAAGACUGGGAUAACUCCGGGAAACCGGAGCUAAUACCGGAUAGUUCCUUGAACCGCAUGGUUCAAGGAUGAAAGACGGUUUCGGCUGUCACUUACAGAUGGACCCGCGGCGCAUUAGCUAGUUGGUGGGGUAAUGGCUCACCAAGGCGACGAUGCGUAGCCGACCUGAGAGGGUGAUCGGCCACACUGGGACUGAGACACGGCCCAGACUCCUACGGGAGGCAGCAGUAGGGAAUCUUCCGCAAUGGACGAAAGUCUGACGGAGCAACGCCGCGUGAGUGAUGAAGGUUUUCGGAUCGUAAAGCUCUGUUGUUAGGGAAGAACAAGUGCGAGAGUAACUGCUCGCACCUUGACGGUACCUAACCAGAAAGCCACGGCUAACUACGUGCCAGCAGCCGCGGUAAUACGUAGGUGGCAAGCGUUGUCCGGAAUUAUUGGGCGUAAAGGGCUCGCAGGCGGUUUCUUAAGUCUGAUGUGAAAGCCCCCGGCUCAACCGGGGAGGGUCAUUGGAAACUGGGAAACUUGAGUGCAGAAGAGGAGAGUGGAAUUCCACGUGUAGCGGUGAAAUGCGUAGAGAUGUGGAGGAACACCAGUGGCGAAGGCGACUCUCUGGUCUGUAACUGACGCUGAGGAGCGAAAGCGUGGGGAGCGAACAGGAUUAGAUACCCUGGUAGUCCACGCCGUAAACGAUGAGUGCUAAGUGUUAGGGGGUUUCCGCCCCUUAGUGCUGCAGCUAACGCAUUAAGCACUCCGCCUGGGGAGUACGGUCGCAAGACUGAAACUCAAAGGAAUUGACGGGGGCCCGCACAAGCGGUGGAGCAUGUGGUUUAAUUCGAAGCAACGCGAAGAACCUUACCAGGUCUUGACAUCCUCUGACAACCCUAGAGAUAGGGCUUUCCCUUCGGGGACAGAGUGACAGGUGGUGCAUGGUUGUCGUCAGCUCGUGUCGUGAGAUGUUGGGGUUAAGUCCCGCAACGAGCGCAACCCUUGAUCUUAGUUGCCAGCAUUUAGUUGGGCCCUCUAAGGGGACUGCCGGUGACAAACCGGAGGAA